rfam:Aedes albopictus isolate Foshan contig173819, whole genome shotgun sequence.
CAAACGGUCCUUUACAGGACCACCACAUUAUUCCCCAAGAGUUGUG